GGUGGCUCAGUGGUAGAGUGCUUGCCUAGCAUGCAGGAGGCCCUGGGUUCGAUUCCUCAGCACCA
rfam:Dipodomys ordii contig_59423, whole genome shotgun sequence.